UUGCAGUGAUGGAGAUUUUAAGUAAUUACUCCUCUCACCUCUGCUUAAUUUUUACUCUUUAUAGAGAUAUACAUACAUGGUCC